rnacentral:rRNA from 1 species
AGUGAACGCUGGCGGUAGGCCUAACACAUGCAAGUCGAACGGCAGCACAGCAGUAGCAAUACUGUGGGUGGCGAGUGGCGGACGGGUGAGGAAUACAUCGGAAUCUACCUUUUCGUGGGGGAUAACGUAGGGAAACUUACGCUAAUACCGCAUAAGACCUUAGGGUGAAAGUGGGGGACCUUCGGGCCUCACGCGGAUAG